GUUUAAGAAGCGGCAGCUCGGAACACUUCGGUCCAGAGAGUAAAACACCCAACAGGAGAGCAGUUCCUCCAUAUAGACCCACGUGUUUCACCUGGCCUCUGGAAAGAGGACUGCCAGCAUUACUAUGGAAACCCCCAAAAAUAAAGACUCCCAGCCUUGUGAGAGUACACCUGCAAGAGUAAGAGCUGCCUAUCAAAAGUGACUUCUUCAUUAUGGAUGUCACCUAAGGACAUUUUGUGUGGACUGGAGCUUCUUGUUGUACAAAUGAAAAAUUUUCCCAAAAAAAUCUGGUGUUUGGAAGCAGAAAUCUUUCCAAAAGUGCACAGGAGUGAUUUUCCUUGGACAUCAGUGAUUAAUGGAAACUCCAGAUCACUUCAGUAAAAUCAGUCUCACAAGGAAGAACCUGCAACGUCUCAGAAAGGACCCAAACCCAGUGAGUGCAUCUUCCAUAAGUGAAACCUGUCCAUCUUCUAAAAUCAUCUCAUGGGAAGAGAUGUCCACAGUAACACUAAACCACUGUAACAGCAAGCCAGGACCUGGGGAACACCUGGUGUGCAUUCAGUAUGAAACAGAAGUUCAUCAGUGCCAGUGCCCAACAGGCUUCAGGGCUGUGUUUUCUAUCCCCAGACUAAAGUCCAGCUCCUGCUGCCCAAACAAAACUGGAAAAAAACUGCUGGUUUAAGAUCUUGGUAGACGUGCUGCAGAGCUGCCCUUCAGAAUUCUCUGGUUUGUAUCGGGAAGGAGGAGGCGUCACCCACGGAGGUGACAGUGAGUGAGGAGAGCUGGAGCUGAAGGAUGCUCCCUGUACCUGCACCCUGCAGCUCCCCAGCACCAUCCCUGCACGUCCCACACGAGCCCUGCCCAUGCAGGAUCCGUGCAAAGGAAGGGUGGAGCGGGUUCCUCUCCUCCUGUCUGCGGCUGGAGAUAGCACAUCCUGAACGCCUUGCGCUUGCUGCUGCCCCUUUUCCUCCUUCCCGCCGAGCCACGGCGGAAAACCAGCAACGCUCGCCUGGGAGGUGCCUCGGCUCCCACGGAGACACCCACGAGGGAGGGAGAUACAAAGGACAGCUGAGCAGAUACCGCCACCAGCACAGAGCCACAGGAGCUCCCUGGAGAUGGCCUUGGCCUCCUCCGAGUCCCUCCGGACUCUACAGCUGCUCCUGCCGUACAGAUGGGAAAACGUUUGAGUGUGCACACGUGAGAGCCUCUUAGGAAAUACCUGUGGAGGCAUCUCAGUCAAAAUUAGAACACUGUGUGCAUAUAUUUAUUUAUUAAAAAACAGCGAGAGGACUUCUACACUUCUAUACCCAUAGCUGUGGGCACCCGUGUCUCCGCAGCACACACCGCGUGGUGAGAACAUCACACCCCGCAGGAGUGUAGCCUGGGCUGAUUAUGGCAAAGAAAAGUCUUGUUCAUACAAUCCACUGAAGUCAGACAAGUUCCAUUUAAAUAUAAACAAAACCUUACACAGUGGUCCACUUAAGGAGGUCCAGAGGUCCGAUUAAGGAAUUCUUUUUCUCUGACACUUAAGAUAUGGAUAUAGCUUGUAUCUCCUCUGACAGUUGUAUCUGUCCACUACCCAGUAAUGUUUCACUCCACUUAAGUAAAAGCAUCAUAUGCAAGAGAAACAAUAAUGCUAUAAAACAAAGACUUUGACUACUCCAGGUCUAUUCCAUACCCAAAAUCCCAAAGGUUUCCUUCUUCAAAGGAAUAAUGUCCUCAGUAUUUGUUAAAGUUUAAGCCACAGUAAGAACAUUUUUAAGGUGCUUCCUCCAAUAGCUUUCAACAUAGUUCGAUCUGCAGACCUAUAAAAAAACCCCACAAUUA